rnacentral:lncRNA from 1 species
GAUCUGCCCUUUGGAAAGAUAUUUAAAGCUUAGAAUGGGAGACAAGCACAUUGUCCCUAUCUCUUGAAUGUAAACAAACCAGUCAAGACAUUAUGAUCAUUUUCCUUGUUUUUUGUUUGUUGUUUGGUUUUGAGAGGGAGUCUCACUCUGUUGUUCAGGCCAGAGUGCAGUGGCAUAAUCUCGGUUCACUGCAACCUCCGCCUCCCAAGUUCAAGUGAUUCUCCUGCCUCAACCUCCCGAGUAGUUGGGACUAAAGAGGCGCACCCAGCCAAUUUUUGUAUUUUUAGAAGAGACGGGGUUUCACCAUAUUGGCCAGGCUGGUCUUGAACUCCUGACCUUAAGUGAUCUGCCAUCUUGGCCUCCCAGAGUACUGGGAUUACAGGCAUGAGCCACCACUCCUGGCCAGAUCAUUUUCUAUUUUAAACCUUUAAGAACAACCUCAAAUUUGAAGGGUGGGACUGUUUGGAGCCAAGGUAUCCAAUGAAGAUUUGGGGUCCUGAGGAGGUAGUGAGCUCACCAUUAACAUGGUCCAAAUGCAGGCAUUGGGUAUGUUGAAGAUGACCCACUCCUCUGCUAGUCAUGGUCCAUUUCUUUUUUUCUUUCUUUUUUUUUUUUUUUUGAGACAGAAUCUCACUCUGUUGCCCAGGCUGGAGUGCUGUGGUGCAAUCUCAGUUGACUGCAACUUCCGCCUCCCAGGUUCAAGCGAUUCUCCUGCCUCAGCCUCUUGAGUAACUAGGAUUACAGGCAGACACCACCACACCCAGCUAAUUUUUUAUAUUUUUAGUAGAAACGGAGUUUCACCAUGUUAGCCAGGCUGGUCUCAAAUUCCUGACCUCAGAUGAUCUGCCCUCGGCCUCCCAAACUGCUGGGAUUAUAGGAGUGAGCCACCACACCCAGCCCAAUCUGGAAUUUUUUACCUAACAAAAAAAUCUUUCAAAUCCAAAGGUGAAAUACAGAUUGUUUAGACAACCGAAAACUGAAACAAAGUAUUGCCUGCAGAGCUAUACUACAAGAAAUGAUACCGGAAGUUCUGCAGGCAGAAAAAAUAAUACCAGAUAGAAAUUUGGAUCAACACAAAAGAAUGAAAAGCAGCAGAAAUGGUAAAUAUGAGGGUAAAUAUAAAAGGCUUUCUUUUGUCUCAUUUUGAAUCUUGUUAGAAGAUUAUUGAUGGUUUUAAUAAAAAAUAAUAACAAUGUACUAUGGAAGUUACAGCAUGUACAAGUAAAAUUUAUUAAAACGAUGGCAAAAAAAAAGAACAGGAUGAGGGAGAUGAGAGUAUGCUGUUGUAAAGUUCUUAAACUGUAUAAGGUGGUCUAAUAUUAUUUGAAAUAUUUGACUGUGA